AGAGUUUGAUCAUGGCUCAGAGUGAACGCUGGCGGCAGGCCUAACACAUGCAAGUCGAACGGCAGCACAGAGGAGCUUGCUCCUUGGGUGGCGAGUGGCGGACGGGUGAGGAAUACAUCGGAAUCUGCCUUAUCGUGGGGGAUAACGUAGGGAAACUUACGCUAAUACCGCAUACGACCUACGGGUGAAAGCGGAGGACCGCAAGGCUUCGCGCGAUAAGAUGAGCCGAUGUCGGAUUAGCUAGUUGGCGGGGUAAUGGCCCACCAAGGCGACGAUCCGUAGCUGGUCUGAGAGGAUGAUCAGCCACACUGGAACUGAGACACGGUCCAGACUCCUACGGGAGGCAGCAGUGGGGAAUAUUGGACAAUGGGCGCAAGCCUGAUCCAGCCAUGCCGCGUGUGUGAAGAAGGCCUUCGGGUUGUAAAGCACUUUUGUCCGGAAAGAAAAGCUUCGGGUUAAUACCCCGGGGUUCUGACGGUACCGGAAGAAUAAGCACCGGCUAACUUCGUGCCAGCAGCCGCGGUAAUACGAAGGGUGCAAGCGUUACUCGGAAUUACUGGGCGUAAAGCGUGCGUAGGUGGUUUGUUAAGUCUGAUGUGAAAGCCCUGGGCUCAACCUGGGAAUUGCAUUGGAUACUGGCAGGCUAGAGUGCGGUAGAGGAUGGCGGAAUUCCCGGUGUAGCAGUGAAAUGCGUAGAGAUCGGGAGGAACAUCUGUGGCGAA
rnacentral:rRNA from 1 species